rnacentral:misc_RNA from 1 species
UUUCCGUAGGUGAACCUGCGGAAGGAUCAUCAUCGAGUUAUGACUGGUUUGUGGCUUGCGUUCCGAGGCAUGUUCACGUCCUGCUCAUCCAUUCUACACCUGUGCACUUACUCUGGGUAUCAGAUCGUGAAGCGUGCUCUUAUACCGGAGCUUGAGGAGCGUGUCUGUGCCUGCGUUUUUCAUAAACACUAUAAGUAUCAGAAUGUGUAUUACGAUGUAACGCAUCUAUAUACAACUUUCAGCAACGGAUCUCUUGGCUCUC